GACGAACGCUGGCGGCGUGCUUAACACAUGCCAGUCGUACGGAAAGGCCCUGCUUUUGUGGGGUGCUCGAGUGGCGAACGGGUGAGUAACACGUGAGUAACCUGCCCUUGACUUUGGGAUAACUUCAGGAAACUGGGGCUAAUACCGGAUAGGAGCUCCUGCUGCAUGGUGGGGGUUGGAAAGUUUCGGCGGUUGGGGAUGGACUCGCGGCUUAUCAGCUUGUUGGUGGGGUAGUGGCUUACCAAGGCUUUGACGGGUAGCCGGCCUGAGAGGGUGACCGGCCACAUUGGGACUGAGAUACGGCCCAGACUCCUACGGGAGGCAGCAGUGGGGAAUAUUGCACAAUGGGCGGAAGCCUGAUGCAGCAACGCCGCGUGCGGGAUGACGGCCUUCGGGUUGUAAACCGCUUUCGCCUGUGACGAAGCGUGAGUGACGGUAAUGGGUAAAGAAGCACCGGCUAACUACGUG
rnacentral:rRNA from 1 species